GGUGAGAUGACCGAGAGGAUUAAGGUGCUCUCCUGCUAAGAGAGUAUGUUUAAAAUACAUCGAGGGUUCGAAUCCCUCUCUCACCG
rfam:Candidatus Riesia pediculischaeffi PTST contig_122, whole genome shotgun sequence.